UACAGAGGUGGCAAGCGUUGUUCGGAAUUACUGGGCGUAAAGGGCGCGUAGGCGGUCUUGUAAGUCUUGUGUGAAAUCCCUCGGCUUAACUGAGGAACUGCACGGGAUACUGCAUGACUUGAGAUCGGGAGAGGGAAGCGGAAUUCCGGGUGUAGCGGUGAAAUGCGUAGAUAUCCGGAGGAACACCGGUGGCGAAGGCGGCUUCCUGGACCAAUACUGACGCUCAUGUGCGAAAGCGUGGGGAGCAAACAGG
rnacentral:rRNA from 1 species